rnacentral:rRNA from 1 species
CCUACGGGUGGCAGCAGUGAGGAAUCUUGGUCAAUGGGCGCGAGCCUGAACCAGCCAAGUAGCGUGAAGGAUGACUGUCCUACGGGUUGUAACCUUCUUUUAUAAAGGAAUAAAGUGAGGCACGUGUGCCUAUUUGGAUGUACUUUAUGAAUAAGGACCGGCUAACUCCGUGCCAGCAGCCGCGGUAAUACGGAGGGGCCGCGCGUUACGCGGAUUUAUUGGGUUUAAAGGGAGCGUAGAUGGGUUGUUAAGUCAGUUGUGAAAGUUUGCGGCUCAACCGUAAAAUUGCAAUUGAUACUGGCAGUCUUGAGUACAGUUGAGGUAAGCGGAAUUCGUGGUGUAGCAGUGAAAUGCGUAGAUAUCGCGAAGAACUCCGAUUGCGAAGGCAGCUUACUGAACUGCCACUGACAUUGAGGCUCGAAAGUGUGGGUAUCAAACGGGAUUAGAUACCCCAGUAGUC